rnacentral:rRNA from 1 species
UACGUAGGGGGGCUAGCGUUGUCCGGAAUCAUUGGGCGUAAAGAGCGUGUAGGCGGCCCGGUAAGUCCGCUGUGAAAGUCGGGGGCUCAACCCUGGGAUGCCGGUGGAUACUGUCGAGCUCGAGUCCGGAAGAGGCGAGUGGAAUUCCCGGUGUAGUGGUGAAAUGCGUAGAUAUCGGGAAGGAACACCAGUGGCGAAGGCGACUACCUGGCCUGUUCUUGACGCUGAGGCGCGAAAGCUAGGGGAGCAAACGGG